rnacentral:rRNA from 1 species
UACAGAGGGUGCGAGCGUUAAUCGGAGUGACUGGGCGUAAAGGGCGCGUAGGCGGUUAGAUUAGUCUGAUGUGAAAGCCCCGGGCUUAACCCGGGAUGUGCAUUGGAAACGGUCUAGCUAGAGUUUGAGAGAGGGAAGUGGAAUUUCCGGUGUAGCGGUGAAAUGCGUAGAGAUCGGAAAGAACACUCGUGGCGAAGGCGACUUUCUGGCUCAAAACUGACGCUGAGGCGCGAAAGCGUGGGGAGCAAACAGGAUUAGAUACCCUGGUAGUCCACGCUGUAAACGAUGAGAACUGGAGGUAUGUUGGCGUAAGCCGAUGUGUCUCUAAGCUAACGCACUAAGUUCUCCGCCUGGGGAGUACGGCCGCAAGGUUAAA